GACGAACCGUGCGAACGUUGUUCGGAUUCACUGGGCUUAAAGGGCGCGUAGGCGGUCGACCAAGUCUGGGGUGAAAUCUUUCGGCUUAACCGGAAAAGUGCCCCCGAUACUGGCCGGCUAGAGGGAGAUAGGGGCAUGUGGAACUUCCGGUGGAGCGGUGAAGUGCGUAGAUAUCGGAAGGAACGCCGGUGGCGAAAGCGACGUGCUGGAUCUCUUCUGACGCUGAGGCGCGAAAGCCAGGGGAGCAAACGGG
rnacentral:rRNA from 1 species